rnacentral:rRNA from 1 species
CUUUGUGACAUACCUAUAACUGUUGCUUCGGCGGGUAGGGUCUCCGCGACCCUCCCGGCCUCCCGCCUCCGGGCGGGUCGGCGCCCGCCGGAGGAUAACCAAACUCUGAUUUAACGACGUUUCUUCUGAGUGGUACAAGCAAAUAAUCAAAACUUUUAACAACGGAUCUCUUGGUUCUGGCAUCGAUGAAGAACGCAGCGAAAUGCGAUAAGUAAUGUGAAUUGCAGAAUUCAGUGAAUCAUCGAAUCUUUGAACGCACAUUGCGCCCGCCAGCAUUCUGGCGGGCAUGCCUGUUCGAGCGUCAUUUCAACCCUCAAGCUCUGCUUGGUGUUGGGGCCCUACAGCUGAUGUAGGCCCUCAAAGGUAGUGGCGGACCCUCCCGGAGCCUCCUUUGCGUAGUAACUUUACGUCUCGCACUGGGAUCCGGAGGGACUCUUGCCGUAAAACCCCCCAAUUUUCCAAAGGUUGACCUCGGAUCAGGUAGGAAUACCCGCUGAACUUAAGCAUAUCAAUAAGCGG